rnacentral:rRNA from 1 species
AUGUCUGGAUGCGUCGUCCGGAGGGGGCCACUGCCCGAGUUCUCCUCCCUCGCCGUCCGGGACAGGAUCGAGGCUGAGGAUGGUAAGGAUGUCCACUCCCUCGCCGUCCAGCACGGCCUGAAUUCUGAGCCAAGGGAGCUCUCUCUCGCCGUAAAGGUCGGGCUGGAGGCGGGUGUGGACUUGGGGGACGCGUCCCCGGCCGAGGCGGUCUUCUGCCUCGCCGUCCAGAGGGGUCUCAAGGCCGAGGAGGUCAUCCACCUCUUCGUCCGGAGCGGGAUAAAGGCGGAGGAUGCCCUCGCCAUCGCCUUCCGUACUGGCCUAAAGGCCAAAGGAGAGAUACAUGCUCACGCAAGGACCCUGAACUAUAUGAAUGGCGGCACCCCUCUUAUUCAGUCAGCGAAAGGAAGAAGAUAA